GGGACCUGGAGAAGUGAGCUGGAGAAGGUGU
rnacentral:piRNA from 1 species